GAGAGAGAGGCUGGACGGCACGGGAACCAAUCACAAGUCGGUAUCACCGGGGAAGGAGCAGCAGCAGUCGCGUGUUGUGUGGUUCGUGUGUGUGUGUGUGUUGUCGACUUCGUGAUGAACGGAAGUGGUCGCGGCUUAUCUUCGCCAUCCGGGGUCACACGCCGGCCAUCUUGCUUCGCGGAAGAGACAAAGGCCCUGUGUGAGACGAGAUGAAAGAAAGUUGCCGAACCUUCCUGCCAGCGAGCGAUCCGGCACUGUGCUUCACAUUUUUUGCUCCUCACUGCUGACGCGCUGCGCCUUGGAACUUCACCCCACUAUCGCGCUUUGCUGACUUCCUCACCCAAGUGCUAUGCGGGAGAGAGCAGCGGGGGAGGAGUAAUAACGGAGAUACAAGCAAAAAGAGGUGAGGAGCUGCAGCAGCAUUUGCAGCAGCAGCAGCAGCAGCAUGGCAGAGCAGAGGCCCGGGGUGGGAGGCAGAAGGCAGUGUGCUCGUCAAGUUUGUCACCACGGAGAACCAAUACACAGUGGUGGGCACCUCAGUGCUGGUGGGAGUGAACAGCAACCUUACUAGUCUGAAUGAAAUUGUCCACGUGUUCAUGAGAUGAGACCGUCACCACGAGCUGCCCUGCCUCAUUAUGCUCUCUUCACCUUUUUGAGUUUUGUUGGACAUGUAUGCAAGGGAAGAUUGUUAGAGGAUAGGCACAAUUUUAGUUGUAUGAAGGUGUGUCUUACC